rnacentral:lncRNA from 1 species
ACAAAGGGAGCUAAGAAUAUACAAAUUCUUCAUUCUUUCUUUGUUCAACAAGAGUCAUAUUUUUGUGAGUCUCGAUGGAUUUUAGGAGGGCAUGCAUUUUUUCGAUCAUUUUCUUUAUCAUUUUUGUCAUUGCGAGCGAGGUCCGAGUGGAGGCUGCAAGAAUUUUAUCGGAAGAUUUAUCCGGUUCGAAUCACCUUGCUACAUUUCCGGCAAUGUACGAGAAAGCGAAAUACACCAUGUCAUAUUGGCUUGAAAAGUUACCAUCUGGACCUAGCCCUAGAGGACCAGGGCAUUAAUGGAGAUACAAAAACAUCUCUUUCACAUAUGAAAUGACAAAAUACACAUAUAGGGAAGCCAUAAGAUAUUUUAUAUAUUUUCUAUUUUCUUUCUUGCAUUAUUUCUUUGUUCUAGGUUUAUACAGUUCAAAUAUGUAAACGAUAUAAAUGAAAUUCUAC